AAGUCGUAACAAGGUAACCGUAGGUGAACCUGCGGAAGGAUCAUUACCACGUAUCCACGUAUCAACCAACCGAGAAUCGUUUUCCUCCCUAUACGCGCAAUGGAUCGGGCCAGCCUCAGCAAUAUAGAACCGGAGUUCGCUCAGCUGUUGUCCGCCUUAGUUCGGGGGAAUCCCCGGGACGAUCGUAUGCAAACGGUAGGCUUCGUCUGACGAGAGGGGCUACGGCUUCUGUUCCUCGAAUCGGACAUUUUACUUUACCAUUAACACCGCACUUUUGCUAGUUGACUUUUAUAUGUUGCUUGUUACGAAAGUAAAAGGCACACGUUUAAUUAUUUGAACGUUAAAAAUACAACUCUUAGCAAUGGAUAUCUUGGUUCUC
rnacentral:misc_RNA from 1 species